rnacentral:lncRNA from 1 species
AAAAAUAUCUUUAAAUACAGAUAAUAAUUGUUUGCAUAAAAAUUGCUUCCAGGAUCCAGCAAUACUGAUGAUUCAUAAAGUAAGGAAAUCGAAGGAAAACGGGUCAUUUUAAGCCAUUUUACUGCGAGAAAAAAAUCGGCGGAAGGGGGGGGGGCUCGAUCGGCGGCCCCUAAACCCCUGCCUCCCCUGAAUUCGAACCCUAAUUACGGCCCUG